rnacentral:rRNA from 1 species
GAUGAACGCUGGCGGCGUGCCUAAUACAUGCGAGUCGAGCGAACGGACGAGAAGCUUGCUUCUCUGAUGUUAGCGGCGGACGGGUGAGUAACACGUGGAUAACCUACCUAUAAGACUGGGAUAACUUCGGGAAACCGUAGCUAAUACCGGAUAAUAUUUUGAACCGCAUGGUUCAAAAGUUAAAGACGGUCUUGCUGUCACUUAUAGAUGGAUCCGCGCUGCAUUAGCUAGUUGGUAAGGUAACGGCUUACCAAGGCAACGAUGCAUAGCCGACCUGAGAGGGUGAUCGGCCACACUGGAACUGAGACACGGUCCAGACUCCUACGGGAGGCAGCAGUAGGGAAUCUUCCGCAAUGGGCGAAAGCCUGACGGAGCAACGCCGCGUGAGUGAUGAAGGUCUUCGGAUCGUAAAACUCUGUUAUUAGGGAAGAACAUAUGUGUAAGUAACUGUGCACAUCUUGACGGUACCUAAUCAGAAAGCCACGGCUAACUACGUG